UGCGUAGGCGGAAUAGUAAGUCAGUGGUGAAAGCCUGCGGCUCAACCGUAGAAUUGCCAUUGAUACUGUUAUUCUUGAGUAUAGUUGAGGUGGGCGGAAUGUGUAAUGUAGCGGUGAAAUGCUUAGAUAUUACACAGAACACCAAUUGCGAAGGCAGCUCACUAAACUAUCACUGACGCUGAGGCACGGAAGCGUGGGGAGCAAACA
rnacentral:rRNA from 1 species